rnacentral:tRNA from 4 species
AGUCUCUUAGCUCAGUUGGUAGAGCACUACCUUGACAAGGUAGGGGUCAGCAGUUCGAGUCUGCUAGAGACUACCA